rnacentral:rRNA from 1 species
AUGCAAGUCGAGCGGAACGAUCCUAGCUUGCUAGGAGGCGUCGAGCGGCGGACGGGUGAGUAACACGUGAGAAUCUGCCCAUUAGAGGGGGAUAACCUGGGGAAACCCAGGCUAAUACCGCAUAAUCCCUACGGGGGAAAGCAGGGGAUCUUCGGACCUUGUGCUGAUGGAUGAGCUCGCGUCGGAUUAGCUUGUUGGUGAGGUAAUGGCUCACCAAGGCGACGAUCCGUAGCUGGUCUUAGAGGAUGAUCAGCCACACCGGGACUGAGACACGGCCCGGACUCCUACGGGAGGCAGCAGUGGGGAAUCUUGGACAAUGGGGGCAACCCUGAUCCAGCCAUGCCGCGUGUGUGAAGAAGGCCUUCGGGUUGUAAAGCACUUUCAGUAGGGAGGAAGGCUUAUCCUUAAUACGGAUGAGUACUUGACGUUACCUACAGAAGAAGCACCGGCUAAUUUCGUGCCAGCAGCCGCGGUAAUACGAAAGGUGCGAGCGUUAAUCGGAAUUACUGGGCGUAAAGCGCGCGUAGGCGGUUUGCUAAGUCAGAUGUGAAAGCCCCGGGCUCAACCUGGGAACUGCAUUUGAAACUGGCAGGCUAGAAUGCAGUAGAGGGAGGUGGAAUUUCCGGUGUAGCGGUGAAAUGCGUAGAGAUCGGAAGGAACACCAGUGGCGAAGGCGGCCUCCUGGACUGACAUUGACGCUGAGGUGCGAAAGCGUGGGGAGCAAACAGGAUUAGAUACUCUGGUAGUCCACGCCGUAAACGAUGUCUACUAGUCGUUGGGAAUCUUAGUAUUCUUGGUGACGAAGUUAACGCGAUAAGUAGACCGCCUGGGGAGUACGGCCGCAAGGUUAAAACUCAAAUGAAUUGACGGGGGCCCGCACAAGCGGUGGAGCAUGUGUUUAAUUCGAUGCAACGCGAAAACCUUACCAGGCCUUGACAUCCUUGACUUUCUAGAGAUAGAUUGUGCCUUCGGAGCCAAGUGACAGGUGCUGCAUGCUGUCGUCAGCUCGUGUCGUGAGAUGUUGGGUUAAGUCCCGUA